UGCCAGUUCGUCUAAUGGUAGGACAGCAGACUCUGGAUCUGUUUGUGGGGGUUCGAGUCCUCCACUGGCAG
rnacentral:tRNA from 1 species